AGAGUUUGAUCCUGGCUCAGGAUGAACGCUAGCGGCAGGCCUAACACAUGCAAGUCGAGGGGCAUCACAGGUAGCAAUACCGGGUGGCGACCGGCGCACGGGUGCGUAACGCGUAUGCAACCUACCCAUAACAGGGGGAUAACACUGAGAAAUUGGUACUAAUACCCCAUAACAUCAGAACCGGCAUCGGUUUUGGUUGAAAACUCCGGUGGUUAUGGAUGGGCAUGCGUUGUAUUAGCUGGUUGGUGAGGUAACGGCUCACCAAGGCAACGAUACAUAGGGGGACUGAGAGGUUAACCCCCCACAUUGGUACUGAGACACGGACCAAACUCCUACGGGAGGCAGCAGUGAGGAAUAUUGGUCAAUGGACGGAAGUCUGAACCAGCCAUGCCGCGUGCAGGAAGACGGCUCUAUGAGUUGUAAACUGCUUUUGUACGAGGGUAAACGCUUCUACGUGUAGGAGCCUGAAAGUAUCGUACGAAUAAGGAUCGGCUAACUCCGUGCCAGCAGCCGCGGUAAUACGGAGGAUCCAAGCGUUAUCCGGAUUUAUUGGGUUUAAAGGGUGCGUAGGCGGUUUGAUAAGUUAGAGGUGAAAUACCGGUGCUUAACACCGGAACUGCCUCUAAUACUGUUGAACUAGAGAGUAGUUGCGGUAGGCGGAAUGUAUGGUGUAGCGGUGAAAUGCUUAGAGAUCAUACAGAACACCGAUUGCGAAGGCAGCUUACCAAACUAUAUCUGACGUUGAGGCACGAAAGCGUGGGGAGCAAACAGGAUUAGAUACCCUGGUAGUCCACGCAGUAAACGAUGAUAACUCGCUGUCGGCGAUACACAGUCGGCGGCUAAGCGAAAGCGAUAAGUUAUCCACCUGGGGAGUACGUUCGCAAGAAUGAAACUCAAAGGAAUUGACGGGGGCCCGCACAAGCGGAGGAACAUGUG
rnacentral:rRNA from 1 species